GAUGAAGAACGCAGCGAAAUGCGAUACGUAAUGUGAAUUUCAGAAUUCAGUGAAUCAUCGAGUCUUUGAACGCACAUUGCGCCCCCUGGUAUUCCGGGGGGCAUGCCUGUCCGAGCGUCAUUGCUGCCCUCAAGCACGGCUUGUGUGUUGGGCCUCCGUCCUCCUCCCGGGGGACGGGCCCGAAAGGCAGCGGCGGCACCGCGUCCGGUCCUCGAGCGUAUGGGGCUUCGUCACCCGCUCUUGUAGGCCCGGCCGGCGCUUGCCGACACAUCAAUCUUUUUUCCAGGUUGACCUCGGAUCAGGUAGGGAUACCCGCUGAACUUAAGCAUAUCAAUAAGCGGAGGA
rnacentral:misc_RNA from 1 species